CAUACGGGAGGCUGCAGUGGGGAAUAUUGGACAAUGGGCGAAAGCCUGAUCCAGCCAUGCCGCGUGUGUGAAGAAGGCCUUCGGGUUGUAAAGCACUUUCAGUGGGGAAGAAAGCCUUGGGGCUAAUACCCUCGAGGAAGGACAUCACCCACAGAAGAAGCACCGGCUAACUCCGUGCCAGCAGCCGCGGUAAUACGGAGGGUGCGAGCGUUAAUCGGAAUUACUGGGCGUAAAGCGCGCGUAGGCGGUCUGAUAAGCCGGUUGUGAAAGCCCCGGGCUCAACCUGGGAACGGCAUCCGGAACUGUCAGGCUAGAGUGCAGGAGAGGAAGGUAGAAUUCCCGGUGUAGCGGUGAAAUGCGUAGAGAUCGGGAGGAAUACCAGUGGCGAAGGCGGCCUUCUGGACUGACACUGACGCUGAGGUGCGAAAGCGUGGGUAGCAAACAGGAUUAGAUACCCCGGUAGUC
rnacentral:rRNA from 1 species